rnacentral:rRNA from 1 species
CCUGCCCAGUGAUUGAAUUUUUCAACGGCCGCAGUACUUUGACUGUGCUAAGGUAGCAAAAUCAAUAGGCCUUUAAUUGGGGUCGAGUAUGAAUGGCUUAUAUGGACAUAUACUGUCUCAUUUAUAAACUUAUAAUUUACUUUAUCAGGUGAAAAUACCUGUACCAAAAUAUUAGACGAGAAGACCCUUAGAGUUUUAAUUAACACUAUUUAUUAUUUUACCAUUUUUGUUGGGGCGACAAUUUAUUCAAUAAGAAAUAACAUAUACCAUAUGUACAUGACUCAUUUCAUGAAAAAGGAAUAUAACUACCUAAGGGAUAACAGCAUAAUUUUUUAUAAAGUUUGUGACCUCGAUGUUGGACUAGGGACUUUUUAGGGUAGUCCUCU